rnacentral:rRNA from 1 species
UACGUAGGGUGCAAGCGUUGUCCGGAAUUAUUGGGCGUAAAGAGCUCGUAGGCGGUCUGUCGCGUCGGCUGUGAAAACCCGGAGCUCAACUCCGGGCCUGCAGUCGAUACGGGCAGACUGGAGUUCGGCAGGGGAGACUGGAAUUCCUGGUGUAGCGGUGAAAUGCGCAGAUAUCUGGAGGAACACCGGUGGCGAAGGCGGCAUCCUGGACCGGUAAGUUGACGCUGAGGCGCGAAAGCCAGGGGAGCAAAGCGGGAUUAAGAAACCCGUAGUA